rnacentral:lncRNA from 1 species
AGAAGGAGGCCAGGAGUUGUGAGUUUCCAAGCCCCAGCUCACUCUGACCACUUCUCUGCCUGCCCAGCAUCAUGAAGGGCCUUGCAGCUGCCCUCCUUGUCCUCGUCUGCACCAUGGCCCUCUGCUCCUGUGCACAAGUUGGUACCAACAAAGAGCUCUGCUGCCUCGUCUAUACCUCCUGGCAGAUUCCACAAAAGUUCAUAGUUGACUAUUCUGAAACCAGCCCCCAGUGCCCCAAGCCAGGUGUCAUCCUCCUAACCAAGAGAGGCCGGCAGAUCUGUGCUGACCCCAAUAAGAAGUGGGUCCAGAAAUACAUCAGCGACCUGAAGCUGAAUGCCUGAGGGGCCUGGAAGCUGCGAGGGCCCAGUGAACUUGGUGGGCCCAGGAGGGAACAGGAGCCUGAGCCAGGGCAAUGGCCCUGCCACCCUGGAGGCUACCUCUUCUAAGAGUCCCAUCUGCUAUGCCCAGCCACAUUAACUAACUUUAAUCUUAGUUUAUGCAUCAUAUUUCAUUUUGAAAUUGAUUUCUAUUGUUGAGCUGCAUUAUGAAAUUAGUAUUUUCUCUGACAUCUCAUGACAUUGUCUUUAUCAUCCUUUCCCCUUUCCCUUCAACUCUUCGUACAUUCAAUGCAUGGAUCAAUCAGUGUGAUUAGCUUUCUCAGCAGACAUUGUGCCAUAUGUAUCAAAUGACAAAUCUUUAUUGAAUGGUUUUGCUCAGCACCACCUUUUAAUAUAUUGGCAGUACUUAUUAUAUAAAAGGUAAACCAGCAUUCUCACUGUGACGACUCUGUUGAUUUUGUUUCACUAAUCGGAAUCACAGACUGAGAGGAAUUCUGGGGGAGGAGUAGGGAAAUAUGAAAAGGGGCAGAAACAGCAAGAUAGGGACCAAGUACUUCUACAGUCAUACCAGACAUUUCCCUGGAGAUACUUUCCUGAAAAGUUGAAACAGACACCAUUAGUUUAUAAACCAUAUUGUAACUGAAAUGUGAUAGAAAAAUUUUCUACUUAAAUGAAUAUCAAGAUGACGCUGCAAUGCAUAUUUACGCACACAAGCUCAUUUUCAUAAAUGAAGCUUUCCUCAGAAUGAUGGCUAACAUCUGUUGAGGUCUUACCAAGUGCUGGGUUUUGGGCUAAGUACUUAUAUUAGUAAAAGUCUAGCAAAUACUGCCCAUAGUCUAGCAAGGACUCCUUACCUGGAAGUUGCUGAAAGCCUUGGUAAUGUUAUCUUUGUUCUCCACUCUGCUUUUGGGGAGGAUGUUUUCCAUGACUAUACGAGAUGAGGCUUGGGGCUGGGUGGCCAGAGUUAGCAAAUAAAAAUACAGAAUGGAUACUAUUUUAGUGUAAGUAUAUCCCAUGCAAUAUUUGGGACCUACUUGUACCAAAAAUGAUUUGUUCUUUUUCUGAAACUCGAAUUUAACAGGGUAUCCUAAAUUGUAUCUGGCAACCCUCUGAAGAAGGAAUACUGCUUAUAGAGGUGUCUGUUUCCUGUUGGAGAUGUCUGUUGAUUUUGGCUUAAGUGUAGAACAGGGCUUUGGCUUAAGUGUAGAACAGGGCUUUGGCUUAAGUGUGGAACACGGCUUCUCAACCUUGAAUUCACAUUAGAAUCACUUAGGAGAGCUUUUAAAAAUUCUAAUGCCAGGUCCUCACCUCCAAAGUUAUGAAUUUAAUUGGAUUGAUGUGGGGGCCUGGCAUCAGUAAUUUAAAAACUCCCCAGGGGAUGUUAAUGCACAGCCAAGUUUGAGAACCACUGUUGGUGUGGGGUCACAGGCUGUUUUUAACCAGCAUUAAGGUUUCAGAGGCACUGCAACUCCGUUCUAAUUUUUGAAGGCAUCUGAUCUAGUUAUUUUUGGUUCAUUCCAUUGGAUGGUUAAUCAUAAGCAGAAAAUCUAUCAGAUACAGUUAUUUCUAGAACUGGGUUUUUAACACGUCUCUUCCAGCACAGCACUGGGAGCUCUGUGGUCAUCCCUUCCGCCGCCCACCGGCUCCCCCAUUGUAUUGACUCCACAUUGCCCCCUGCUGGUGAAACAAGUGCGAAGGUCAGCGUCUUUAGCUCCCUGCCUCUGAUGAAUACAGCUGCACCUUCACAAAGAGCACAGCUGUUCAUUGUGAUGGUUAAUGUUACGCGUCAACUGGACUAAGCUAAGGGAUACCCAGGUAGCUGAUAAACAUCAUUUCUGAGUGUGUCUGUGUGGUGUUCCAGAAGAGAUUAGCAUCAGAAGACUAAAGAAGAUCUGCCCUCACCAAUGCAGGCAGGCAUCAUCCAAUUCACUGAGGUCCCAAAUAGAACAAAAAGGCUGAGGAAGGGUGACUUUGCUGUCUGCGUUUGAGCUGGGACAUCCAUCUUCUCCUGCCCUCUGACAUCCACGCUUCCGAUUCUUGAGCCUUCAGACUCAGACAGGGACUUGUACCAUCACCUACCCUUCUUGACCCCUUCUCAGGUCUGUGAACUUGGACCAGGACUGACAACUUUGGCUGCCCUGGUUCUCAGGCCUUCAGACCAAAUCACACCACUGGCUUUCCUGGUUCUCCAGCUUGCAGAUGGCAGGACUUCUUGGCUUCCGUAAUUGUGGGAGCCAAUUCCCCUAAUAAAUAUCUCGAGCAAGUUUGCCAACCUGUAUCUUAAUUCAUCUUUGUGGCCAGAGAAGUGGAUUUACUGAUUUGUUUCAGCUGAUCAAUGUCUAUAACAAGCAAUGUUGAUGGGCUGAAAACCACACAGACUACCAGAGGGGUUGCUUUUCCGAAGAAUCAUGUAAGGAUAAAAGAGAAAGAAAGAGAGAAAGACCUUGGAACCCAACUAGUAUCUACCAAAUAGACAGGAUCUCACUGUGUUGCCCAGGCUGGUCGCCAACUCCUGGCCUCAAGUGUUCCUCUGGCCCUGGCCUCCCAAAGCACUGGGAUUACAGGGGCAGCUCUUCCCUGGUUCCCUGCAGACCCCAGGUCAGGCCAGAAAACACCUCUAUGGCCCUUCCCUGUGUCCCACCACCAGAUAGGACCUCAAAGGCCUGGGGUCCCCAGGAUGGCCCUCAAACCGACUGGUGCCCUUGCAGGCUGCCACCCUCCAAGUCCUGCUUCUCUCCAGAGAUGGGCAGAAGCACCAGCCCUCGCCUGGCACCAGCAGUGAGUCUCAUAAUUGCCAUUUACCAUUUUGCUAGGGGGGCUUCUGGGGGUCCUAGGAAAAGCAGCAGAUGCCUGGGUGCUUGGGGACCUGGGCAUUCUGAGGGAAGGAGCAGCGUGACCCUGAGUCAUUUUUCACUGGGGACAAGUGAGCCAACUCCUUCUACCCAGUGAUAAAAUCAGAAGGAAGUAGAUGGAGACAGCACUGUUCAGGGGAUGAUUUGGGGAUGAGAAGAACUGGCAGGAAGUUGGAGAUUUGGGGGUGAGAAGAACCAGCAGGAAGUUGGGGAUUUCUUGUUUCCCCACUUUUCCCUUCCAUUUCUGUUUGAGCCUUAGGUUUGGCCUCCAUCUCCCUCUGUAGAAAUUGCAGCUAGUUAGAUAGUCUGCCUCUUAUUCCAGCUCUACUGGGGGAACAUAAUAUGGUCUAAGAAGAAAUUUUUCCAGCAAGAGGCCAUCUCUGCAAAUCACCUGUGAGGCAGACCUGUGGCAAUUUUAUGACUCAGCUGGCCACCAGGAAGCGAUUGUAGCUGGGUUCUGCCCCUUAUUGAAACCUACUCAAUGUUCUCCUUCACUAAGUAGGACAAGACCGUACCCUGCCUUUAAGGUUUAUAGAAUAGAAAGUGAAAACACUUUGGGGAAGAAAAUCUUCCUGAACAGAUAGCCCAGGGCAUUUUGAAAAUCCCUUAGGAAGUUCUCUGUUUCACUUGGGUACCUCUGUCCCUGGACUUUGGCGAUGUGGUUUGACCCCAGCCAGAGAGUGCAGGGAACAACAGCAAAAGGCAGGACAAAGACUGACUCGUGAGAGGAGGCCCAGGAACAGGGGGGCAUCGUGAGAGAGGAGGACGUGAGGGCCCAAGAGUGUGAGCAGAAGAGGAUAGGACUUGGGCACUCAGUCACCAGCUGUGGGGUCUGAGCUGUGUCCCCUUCUCUAAAGAGGUAAGCCCUGAGUCAUGGGAAGAUGGAAACCGGGGCUCAUGAGACAGGAUGUUUUUUAAGCACCGUGGUGUCUUGUUGACUUGCACAUGCAAGGGGGUCUUGGGUAACCACAGGGCUCAGGGUAUUUGCAGGAACAGUUCAAGUGCUCACUUGUCUUGGGGCUGUUUGUGGGGAAGUGGUUUCCACAGCAACAGGAGGUGAGAUAUUGGUGUUACCCCAGACCACACUUAGCUACUUCCUUCUCACUAAAGCUCUGUAGUCAUAUUUUCCCUGGCAGAGCAGAAACUUCUCUGUUAUCCCACAGCUGUUCUAACGGUGUAGACUUGACUUAUGCAAUGAUGCCAGGAGUCCUGAGCAGCACAGCCCAACUUCAAUCACACACAGAUGGACAGAGCUGUAUUAGCAAAGCCUGAGCUACUGAGCGAUGAGAGUACAGCCAGGCUUUCAGACAUCUGUUCAUUCAAGAGAGAUAUGCGCUAAGCCAAGGACCUAAAGAUGUGUUUAAUAUGGGUGCUAAUAUGCAUAAGGAACCUUGAAAUAAAUGUUCUUAGCCUUUGGCCAAGAGGGUCCAUGUCUAGGAAUCUAUUCUCCAUAGAAAUAAAUUCAAAUAUGGAAAAAAUGAACAAUGCAUAAGUGUAUUUGGUCCCCAGCAUAUUUAUAGCAACUUAAAAUUGGACCCAAUUUAAAUUGCCUAUGAUAUGGAAAUGGCUAAGAAAAUUAUGGGAUCUUCCCUUGAUUGGCUAUUAGGCAGCCUUUACAAACAAUGCAGUGACAUGAGAAAUGCUUAUGUUAUGGUAAGCUUAAAAAACUCAAGAUGCAAAUCAGCUUAUUUUAAUCAGGAGCCACCUAGCAUUUGGGAUGUGGUCAAUCCCACAUAAUGUAUUUUUGUGGGUGCAGUUCCCAGGAAAGAGGAGGAAUAAAAACGGCAAGUAUGAAGUGUCUCCUUCGCUUGCAGUCUCCUUGUCUACCCCUUUGUCCAUCCACUAUGAAAGGACUCCCUUCUGUUCCUUAAUAUGGACAAUUUCUAUUGAGGACUCAUUGUUCUAAGAAUUGUCUCAUCUCCUCCUGCAUCCUCAGUGCCCGAUCUUUGGCUUCUAUGAAGGAAGGUGGGUAGUGCUUAUGGCAGGGCCAGUUCUACCUUUCUCAGUAUGUUCUGGAGUGGGUAUGUAGCCCCAUUUUCUAGUGGUUACCUUGACAUCAUGAAGAGUUUAUGUCUCUUUUGCCCUAGAUUUGGGCAAUAGUCAUUCAUUGGGCAACUGGAAAUAACACAAGUCAGCAUCUCAUUAAAAAUAAAGUCAUUCAGGAAAGUGGACGACUAAUAGUUUCUAAUCUAGAGAGCAUAGGAGAAGAAAUGUUUACCACACACAAAGUAUUAGUGCCUUUUAUAUCAUCAAGACAAAAAUAACAGGAAAAAGACAAACACAUUAUAGUGAAAACUUGUUUUUCCUGACCAGCAUCUAUUCUGCAUGUUCCCUGAUGCCAGAAACUCACAUUUCUUCAGGGCAAACCCCCUUCCCCACCAUUCUCAGGCUUUAAGUUUAUGUAAAAUUCAGUAAACCCAAAGAUUCAAGUUAUGUGCCUUGAUUAACUUAAGCAAAUCAAUGAAACCCAUCCCCAUAACCACAGCGACUGGUUAGGAAUUCGGUUCCUAAGUCAGUCAAAUCCAAAAGGGCCUAGUGAUGUUUUUUCCAAUGGGAACACAGACUCACUCUUCCCUGCAGAAAAUGAACAAGGAUUCAUGUACACUGGCAGGUACUGGCAGCCACCCAGGGCCUCUCACAGGAAAGGGAGAUCAGAAAGAGAAGCAAAGAGGACUCAUGAGAUACCACAGGGCCGCUGCGUCCAGCCUUGCCUGGAGCUAGGGCCACCUCGAUGCCCUAUAGUCUUGGAGCCACAAGGUGCAUUUACUCAAAGCCUCUUUGAGUUUGGUUUGCUUGUUUGCUUUCUGCCUGGAAACUGCCAGCAUCCUGAGAGAUACGAGAUCUGCAUCUGUGCAGAGACACAGGGUUUGUUAAAAGUCACAGGCCCUGACUGAAGUGUGGAACUGGCUGAAAUGAGAAAGUAGGAGGUAAUUUGGUGAGGACCUUGUGAAAUGGAAGUGAGUUUUAAACCUUACAUGCAUCAGAAUUACCUGGAGCCUUGUGAAAACACAGGUUGCUGGGCCCUAGUCUAUUAAGAAAGGAAGUGGGGCUCAGAAUAUGCCUUUCUCCCAAGUUCCCAGGUGAUAUUCACCAUGCUGUCCUGUCUGGGCACUACCUUUUGCCAUACCCAUUACAAGGUAUUGCACGUGCUGGUUGAACUAUGGUCUGUCUUAUUUUGGUGCUAAAAGCCUGUGCCAAAUACCAAGGCUGCAGCAUUAAGGAAUUUGUUAGAAAAGAUUCUGAAUAUUGGAAUUUAGUUGCUGUGUAUUAUAUCAGUAAGGUCCUUUAAGAAAGAGUUUAGGCUACUUUGAAAUGGGCUCAUCUGAAAUUGAAAAAGAAGAAAUGCGACUUGCUAAAAAGGCCCUUCCAGCCUGUUGACUGAGAAUCCAGUAAUCUGAAGACUGAAAGGGCUGUAAAUGCAGGAUUUUCUACUCUAAGAUAAAGUUAGCAUGAGCAGAGACAGGAAGAUGAGAGACAUAAUGAGGCCAAGCGUCAAAUAUUCAUCACCUCCACAUGGGCCAAGAUGCAGGCAGAGGUCUCUCACCAGGGGCUGGGAGGUCGGGGUGACAAUGGUAGUGCAGUCUGUGCUAGAAAGUGCACAUCCCCAGCUGGGCGCAGUGGCUCACGCCUGUAAGCUCAGCACUUUGGGAGGCCAAUGCUGGCGGAUCAUGAGGUCAGGAGUUAGAGGCCAGCCUGGCCAACAUGGUGAAACCCUAUCUCUACUAAAAAUAUAAAAACUUAGCUGGGUGUGGUGGCGGGCACCUGUAAUUCAGCUACUUGGGAGGCUGAGGCAGGAGAAUCGCUUGAACCCGGAAGGCGGAGGUUACAGUGAGCCGCGAUCACGCCACUGCACUCUAGCCUGGGUGAUAGUGGGAGACUCCAUCUCAAAAAAAAAAAAAAAAAAAGAAAAAAGAAAAUGCACAUCCCCAACCCCAGUUAAAAUGCAAAUGCAAACUAUGUAACUGACAACCUGUCUGCUUCUGGCUACCUGGCCCAUGGAAUUGAUCAGAAGCAAAUAGUAGCCUACAGACAUUAGAAGGGAGUCACAUUGCCAAAGAAACCAUAAGACUGGUUCCAAAAAGUUGCUGAUUGCACAAUACCUAAGGCAACCUCAGGCUAACUCACACAGACAGGAAGUCAGCAGCCUCCAGAAAGCAGAUCCUCCACAUUGCACAUCUCAGAUUGUCCAUAGAGGACAUUCUCCCAGGGAGGAGAGCUAGGGACUGCCAGAUCAGCUGAACUGCUUAAAAAUGCAGUACCCAUUCUCCAGUUCCCUAUCAGGGGUCUUUGUUCAACUUACUGUUUGUUCAUAACACUUGUAUUUAGGGAAUGUUGGGCAUGAUUAAACUUCGUUUAGCUUUGGGUUUCUAGACCUUGAGAAACAAUUCAGUGCAGGCAAAUAUUGUAUGCCCCUAUAUUUUUUCCUGAAAGCCAAUAAAGAAGGAAUGAUGACACCUUCACUGCGUCUAUGGGGACAAAAGCUGCUUGUGUGUGUGUGUGUGUGUGUGUGUGUGUGUGUGUGCGUGUGUGUGUGUGAGAGAGAGAGAGAGAGAGAGAAACAGCCUUGUCAAAAAGACGUGUUUGUUGCUGUACCCUCAUUAUAUGAAAGCCAUCAUGGCAUCAAAACAGUAUAAGCCAGGUUGAGCUCUAUCCUCUCUGCAUCAACUCAGAAUCCCUACCAGAAAGUGGUUGUGAUGGAUGGAAUAUCACCCAUCAAAGAAUAGGGUAAGAUGAGACCAGAGAGGUAAGCUAUGCAAGCUAAUCAGAAAAUAACUCAAAGUUUUAAAAGUGCAGAAUAUAAAAAGGAAAAACCCUCAUUCCUAAAAAAAAAAAAAAGCCUCAUUUCCUCAAAGAAAUCAGUUAGCUAUUUGAUGUGUAUCUUUCCAAAUAUUUGCCUAUGUAAAUAUAUAUGUAUAUAUGGCAUUUAAAAAUAAAACAAAAUAAUAUACUUUACAGAUAGUUCCAUAGCAUAUGUAGAGAAUAUAUAUGCAUAUACUGAAUGUAAUUAGGUCUGCCUUUUACAUAUAAUAUUAUGGACACUUUCCACAGUUAUAGAUGUGUGCUACUUUUUUUUUACUGACUUCAGAAUAUUCCACUGAUGGACAUCUUAAUCCUCUACUGAUUAAUCCCCUACUGAUGACUGUUUGCAUUUCUUUGCUGUUUGCCAACCACACUGCAAAGAAUAUCCUCAUGUCUACAUAUCUUAUCUUUUGGCAGUGUUUCUAUGAAGCAGAUUCCUAGAAAUGGGAUCAGGUCAAAUGGGAUGUAGUUCACAUAGUAUAUGCAUUUUAAUAUUUGCUAAGUAGUAGUGUUUAUGCUUUAAAGAGUUGGAACACUACAAUUCUAAACAUGUUUGGACACAAAAAAUAGAUUAUUUGAAACAAAAUGAAAUAAGCAUAGCUCGUAAAAAUUAACACGUUUGGUUUUCACACAAAUAUUUUGAAUUUCUCUUUCUUCUGCAAAAAGGACCCUAGCUUAGUAUGGAUUUCUUGUACAGAUAAUGCAAACAAUCCAUCUAUUAAAUAACUUACCUUUCACAGUAAACCUAUAGACAGCAUCCUGCUCCACACAGAAGCUGAUUGUCUUUUCCUUCUCUAACAUUAGCUAUUUAUUUUGUAGAGUGUAGAUUCUAGAGAAAUAAUGUAUAAUACACCUGUUGCCAUAUGCAGAGACUUACCACAUUUAGAAAACAGUGGUGAAUUCUAUUGACAGUGGCUCUCAGUCAUUAACAUGCUAUGGAACACCUCAUGAGCUUGAUAAAAAUAUCAGUUCCCAGGUCUACACUUAAAGAUCCUAUUUAAGUGGCUUCAACAAUCACUGCUCAAACACUCUAUGUCAACUCAGAAUCCUGACAGGAAGUGGUUGCAAUGGAUAAAGUAUCAUCUGUUAAAGAAUGGGGUAAGAUUUGAGUAUAGGCGGGUCAUACUUUGGGAAAUAACUUGGUCAAUGGUUAACAGCAUAGUCUGUAGUUCAAUAAAAGUCCAGUUUUGGAACACAAUUGACCGUUUACGUGCUGUGUAACCUCAGCCAAGUUGUCUAACCUUUCUGAGCCCUGGGUUACUUUUCUGUCAAGUGGAGGUAUUAAUAGUACCUAAGCUGUACUAUUGCAUUGGUAAGAUUAAAUGAGCAAUGUAUAAAAAGCGCUCAGUAGGAGGAGUAAGCCUCAACAAUGUAAAUAAUUGCUAUUAAGAGCUUGAUUCAUCAUGAAUAUGCCCUACAGAAUACUAUGCUUAAUGGUGGCCAUUCGAGUAGUGAAUUCUCCUAGAGCAUGCAUGUUAUGAUUUGAGUUAUAACAUAUUCGUAGUUUCAAUGUUCCAGAACUGUGUCUCCGUUGUAAAGUGGAUAACUCUGUGGUAGCCCUCCCCAUCUCUCCCAAUUUCCCUCCAUUUCACCUCUUCCUAAUCUUUGCCUAUGAUUCCUCUUAACCAGUGAUUUUGAUUUGCCAGAAAAACAAAACCAAACUCAAUACUGGUUUACCUUUUAAAAGAG